GACGAACGCUGGCGGCGCGCUUAACACAUGCGAGUCGAACGGAAAGGCCUGCUUUCCCUUGUGGAUUGCGGGUACUCGAGUGGCGAACGGGUGAGUAACACGUGAGUGAUCUGCCCCCAACUUGGGUAUAAGCCUGGGAAACUGGGUCUAAUUCCCGAUAGGACUGCAGGGUGGUGCCUGUGGUGGAAAACGAUUUUCUAGUGGUUGGGGAUGAGCUCGCGGCCUAUCAGCUUGUUGAUGGGGUAAUGGCCUACCAAGGCGGCGACGGGUAGCCGGCCUGAGAGGGUGGACGGCCACAUUGGGACUGAGAUACGGCCCAGACUCCUACGGGAGGCAGCAGUGGGGAAUAUUGCACAAUGGGCGGAAGCCUGAUGCAGCGACGCCGCGUGGGGGAUGACGGCCUUCGGGUUGUAAACUCCUUUCGACCGCGAGGAAGCCACCUGGUUGGAAGGGUGGUGACGGUAGUGGUAGAAGAAGCACCGGCUAACUACGUG
rnacentral:rRNA from 1 species